CAGGAAACUCUGUAAGCAGCUACCCUACAGGAAAGAAUGAAUGGAGCGGAGCGGAAUAUGCCAUACUGAGGCCUUGAGAGCAAGUUCCAAAGUUACAGCAGCAAUGUGUUGCAAGGUCAUGCUGUGAAUCAGUGCCACUGCAGACCUUGAGGCUGAGUGAACAUGAAAAGAAAAUAUCAGCCUUCCACAAGCAGCUACAAAAUCAGUCCUCGGAUAAAGCCUGAAUCAUCCAGUCAGAAAACAGACAUCACCACAAGCAAUGACAAAUCACAUUAUGUUCCAUUUGUCAGGAAUGAAAUGAUUGACUAGGAGAGGUAUCAAAUGUCAUAAAUAUUCCUGUUCUGUUAUAGAGCCUUUGGAGUCAGGCACUACAUAAAUUAAAUAAAUAAAAUUAAAAAAUUU